ACCGGCGGCUCGAGUGGUGGCCACUAUUACUGGGCUUAAAGCGUUCGUAGCUGGCUUGUUAAGUCUCUGGGGAAAUCUUCCGGCUCAACCGGAAGGCGUCUCAGGGAUACUGGCAGGCUAGGGACCGGAAGAGGUGAGAGGUACUCCAGGGAGGGGAGUGAAAUCCUGUAAUCCUUGGGGUGACGAAUGUGGCGAAGGCGUCUCACCAGGAUGACUCCGACAGUGAGGAACGAAAGCUGGGGGAGCAAACCG
rnacentral:rRNA from 1 species